UACGUAGGGAGCAAGCGUUGUCCGGAAUCAUUGGGCGUAAAGCGCGCGUAGGUGGCCUCAUAAGUCCGCUGUGAAAGUCAAAGGCUCAACCUUUGAAAGCCGGUGGAUACUGUGAGGCUAGAGUACGGAAGAGGCGAGUGGAAUUCCUGGUGUAGCGGUGAAAUGCGCAGAUAUCAGGAAGAACACCCGUGGCGAAGGCGGCUCUCUGGGACGGUACUGACGCUGAGGCGCGAAAGCGUGGGGAGCGAACAGG
rnacentral:rRNA from 1 species